CAGGAUUUCACUGUGUUAGCCAGGAUGGUCUUGAUCUCCCGACCUCAUGAUCCACCUGCCUCGGUCUCCAAGAGUGCUGGGAUUACAGGCUUGAGCCACGGCGACCGGCCUAGAUUAAUUCUUUAUGAAAGUUCAUGAAAGUGUAUUUUUAGCCUCUCACUAAACACUUGCAGGACUGAGAAAUACAUUCUCGAAAGAAGUAACAAUCCAUUUUGAGAUGUGUUCUAGUUAUUGGAAAUUAUUUUAUGUUAAGUUAAAUUUUUCUUCCCCAUCAUUUCCACCUUUUACUCUAGUCCUAUCCUCCAGAACUUCUCAAAAUGAAUCCAGACUUUCCUACACAUAUGAAUCUUUAAAUAAUCAAAAAGAGCUAUCAAGUUCCUCAUACUUUUCUUCUCCAAAUGAAACAUUCUCAGCCCUUGCAGGCAGCUUCUCAUGUCGUGAUUUACAGUGAGCAGCAAUGUUCUCACUGUUUGUACUAGAACAUUCUUCAAUAUGAUUAAAAGACCUCCAAAAGUGAGCUUUCCAGAAGAAAACACAGUACACUAGUGAGGUCUUCCCAGUGCAGAGUAGAGAAGCCCCAUCCUAACCUCACUUCUAUUAAUGCAAGAGCACAGGACACCAUUGGCUUGUAUUGAGCUUAUUAACAGUGAAAGCUAAAAUCCUCUCACUAGUUAAUGUGAAUUAGUAUGUUAACAAGCAGUGGCAUUGUCUAGCAAACAAGCAAAAUUUGUAUGUAAAUACUAUGAAGUUCCUAGAUAUCCUUUUGGGAAAUAAACAUAGUAUAACUCAAUCAAUAAAUAAUGGGGAUUAGAUUUUCUUAUUCCCACUUUAUAAAUGGGAAAACGAAACACCUUAAAUGACAUGUUCAGACUUAUAACCGAGGAGCAACAAAAAUUAGCCUAGAGCUACCCAAGCCUGAUGCAUUGCAUAUUGUGCUAUACCAUGCUACCCUCUAACCCCAAAUUCCAGUGAAACAGCUGAUGCCAACCAGUCUGAAGACCUCUUUACAGAGGAAAAAAUCAGCAUGAGAAAACAGUUUCUUCAGCCUUCUAUCCUAUGACUUCACCCUACUCUUCAACCAAUCAAUGAUUUCCACUCUUCAACCAAGUCUAAAACCCCUAAAACCCCUCUCUCCAAACUCCUUGAGGAGAUGGAGUUGAGGUUUCCUCUGUAUCCUCAUCCAGCAUCCCUACAAUUAAUCUUUUCUCUGCUGUUGUCUCUACAUGUUGAUUUCCCAUGUGCUUCAGAAUUUCAGAGCUCAUUCUCAGAAAUUUUAAUUCAAAAUGUCUGCAGCAGGAUCUCCAGACCACAG
rnacentral:lncRNA from 1 species